GAUGAACGCUGGCGGCGUGCCUAAUACAUGCAAGUCGAGCGAACAGACGAGGAGCUUGCUCCUCUGACGUUAGCGGCGGACGGGUGAGUAACACGUGGAUAACCUACCUAUAAGACUGGGAUAACUUCGGGAAACCGGAGCUAAUACCGGAUAAUAUAUUUAACCGCAUGGUUCAAUAGUGAAAGACGGUUUUGCUGUCACUUCUAGAUGGAUCCGCGCCGCAUUAGCUAGUUGGUAUGGUAACGGCUUACCAAGGCAACGAUGCGUAGCCGACCUGAGAGGGUGAUCGGCCACACUGGAACUGAGACACGGUCCAGACUCCUACGGGAGGCAGCAGUAGGGAAUCUUCCGCAAUGGGCGAAAGCUUGACGGAGCAACGCCGCGUGAGUGAUGAAGGUCUUCGGAUCGUAAAACUCUGUUAUUAGGGAAGAGCAAAUGUGUAAGUAACUAUGCACGUCUUGACGGUACCUAAUCAGAAAGCCACGGCUAACUACGUG
rnacentral:rRNA from 1 species